CUGUACACAUCCCCAGCUCAAGGAAGUUACAGAUGAAUUUACCUAUCGUUAUUGGUUCUAUUCCUUUGUCACCCUUUUUGCAACCUGACAUUCAAGUUGAACCAUUCAGCUCAGUCACCAAAUGAAGUGUUAGGUAUGAAAAUAAAAUGUGCAUUCAUUAUUCUGCAAUUCCUCUAUCACCCUGCCGUGGAUAAAGAGCUACUUAAGUCUAACUAGCAGCAAGAACUGAUCUGAUUUAUUGUGCUGCUUUGGUAAUUGGUGCACGUUUAAUGGUCCAGAUAGCAAAGUCACCAAGAAGCUAAAAAGACAGAAGAAGCACGGAACACAUUUACCAUUUGACAUAUAUGAAGACCUUCCUUUCAAAUGGCAUUCCACACUUGGUUUUGGACUAUUUUUAUUAGCUAUGAAGAUUUGUUUCAUCUUCUUUUCUUUUACACUUUUGAGAGCACCUAGGUCUGGAUUUAUGUGUUAUGGAUAAUAUUUUAUUAUCAUGUAAAUGCUUUGUCUGCUUGAACAUUACAGUGAGGAGAUUGCAGUCACCAUAUGUUAAUCUAUUGGCCAAGCUUGUUGGUGACCAUAGUGUAAAAGAAAAAAAUACACAUAAUUUCCUAAUUUGUUAACUGUUUCAUGAACAGGUCCACUGGGCUCAUUGUCCCAUAAAGGAAAACUUAUUUAGCAGUAUUCAAGGAAUUAGACAUUUCCAGUGCUAUUUUUUGUAGUCAUUACGUGGAAGAAAUUGUCUUAUUCAGUCAGAUAAGUAAUUUAAUCACUCAAAUCACAGUGAUACACUAUAUUUCAAGUUCUAUUUACAGCAUGCAUAUUUUACAAAUAUUCCCUAUGUUGGUGGAAGAAGUGGUUGGCAUUCUUACCCCAAAGCAAUCUUCUGUCCCUUCCACACUCUGAAGCAGCAGACUGCAGUGUGCUUACCCUUAGACUAUCUUAUCACUGCCCUAAACUCUGAUGGUGGCAGUAUAUAACUAGGUAAGAUAUUACCCUUACAUUUCUGCCUUUUGUUGGUGACAGCAUGUAACUCUGUAAGUAUUGCACUGAGAUUUACGCACUCUGAUGACAACAGCAUGUAACUCGAUAAGACCUUACCUUCACAUUUCUGCACUCUGGCAGCAGCAGCAGCGUAUAACUCAGUAAGUUAUCGUCCUCACAUUUCUUGCACUCUGGUGGCAGCAGCAUGUAAUUUAGUAAAGCACUACUGUCAUAUUUUUGCUGCUUUCUGGUGGCAGCAAUGUUUAACUCAGUAAGGUAUUGCCCUCACAUAUUUGCACUGUGUUGGCUGCAGUGUGUAACUCAAGGCAUUGCCUCACAUUGUUACAGUCUGAUGACAGAAGUAUGUAACUCGAUAAGGCUUUAUCCUCACAUUUCUGCACUCUGGUAGUGGCAGCAUGUAACUCAGUAAGGCAUUUCUUGCACUCUGGUAGUAGCAGCAUGUAACUCAGUAAGACACCACCCUCACAUUUUUGCACUCUAGUGGCAGCAGAGUUUAACUCAAUAAGGCAUUGCCCUCACAUUGUUGCAUUCUGUUGGCAGAAGCAUGUAACUUAGUACAGCUUUACCCUCACAUUUCUGCACUCUAACAAUGGCAGCAUGUAACUCAGUAAGGCACUGCCCUCACAUUUCUGCACUCUGGUAGCAGCAAUGCACAACUCAGUAAGGGCUUGCCUUCACAUCUUUGCACUCUGGUGGCAGCAGUGUGUAACUCAAUAAAGCCUCACCCUCACAUUUCUUGCACUCUGGUAGUGGCAGCAUGUAAUUCAGUAAGGCAGUGCCCUCACAUUUCUGCACUAUGGUGGCAGCAAAGUGUAACUCAUUAAGGCCUUACCCACACACUUCUGCACUUUGGUUUCAGCAGGUUAUAACUUAGGCUAACUCUUCUCUUUCGUAUAACCUGAUUGCAACAGGGUGUAACUCUCCCUUCUACAAUCUGGUGGUAGCAGAGUGUAACAUACAUAUCCAAAAGACUAAAAUUAAACAGUGAUUUUUUAGUGCUAGCAUUGAGGAAUGCGGGGAGCUAACCAGAGGUUUCAAUCUUGCUUUCUUACUGACUUGUGGCUGCUAGGGAGUAUACUUACCCUGAGGCUAUCUCUGUUGUCCUACACUCAUGAGGCAGCAAAUUAUAUCAUAGCUACCCUAAGACUUUCUUCUCAUUAUCCCAUCCACUGGGGGCAGAAGGGUUCUACUCACAAAAAUUAUAUUUUUAUUUUCCUCCAAUGUGGUGGUUUAAUUACUUAUUAAAAUUAUCUUUUCACUUCCAGACCCUCUCCACUAAUGUUAACAGUGCUAGCUGUUACUUUACUCUAUUAACUUUACAACACCUAGACUAACUUCUGUAGACAGUUUUCUUGCAAAGCAUCCAUCAUUGCCAACUUUGGGGUAUACAUCUGCAUGACAGAGCUCCCUGUCAGGGAAUAUAUAUUAUUAUUGCUUUAAUAAUAUUUUUCCUUCAUCCCAUCUUAUAAUUUUUACUAUACUAACAACAAAGGACAUUUAGAGAACAUUGUAGUAAACUUCAUGUUUGGUUAAUUAGGUUUAGGACUGCUGUAUUAACAUAUAUAAUAUUAAGCUGCGGUGGUGCAGUGGUAGCGUUGUUGCCUCAUAGCAAGAGGAUCUCCCAUUCGAUUCUUGGCUGGAGCGCCUUCUGUGUGGAGUCUGCAUGUCCUCCCUGCGGUAGAGUGGCAUUCAAAAGACAUGCGUGAAUGGGCAUGCAUUCGUUGAAGGUUUGGCAUUGGGCUUGCACCUCAGCACCAUAAAAAUCGACUGCCAAUCAUUAGCAGACUGGAGUUCCGCUGUGGUGACCCCUAACCGGGAAAAGCCGAAAGAAAACAACAACAACAUUAACGUAUAUAAUAUUCAUCAUGACUGCCAUCUCAGUUGACAACUGGUACAGAAAUGCAGUUCAACAUACCACAUAAGGCAACACAGACAAUACCCUUCCCAUAUUCAACCACACUAUGCUUGACUCAAAUUACAAGACAAAGUUUCUCACCUAACUAAACACAUCUCAUAGUAUCAAAGUCAAUCUAGCAUUUUUUCAUCAAACCAAUUCACAAGACCUCAAAAUGUGGGCAGUACUGUGGUACCUAAUUAUCCUAAAACUAAGAUCAGCAGGGGGCAUAAAGUAUAAUUUGAGUCCAGCUGUACCUAGCAAACCAAUUACUGAAAUUGAGUUUGUCUUUCUCCUUAGGCUCCUCCAAUAUUACAAGAAAUUGAACACAAUCAAGCUUACAUCACAUUCCAGCUACCUGCACUCCUGAGCUAUAAUCAAUCCAGGCCAUCAACUCACUUCCACAAGGAGUAAUGCAGCUCAGUUCUCUGACUUGCACAGUACACUGUUGCCAUAGAAGGAUAUCCAACCCGUCCAUCUAAAUGUACAAUAUGGGCUAUAUUAGAAGCAUAGGUCCUGCAGAGCAGGCCUGACAUACUUUGGAUGCCUCAUAUAACAUCCCUACUUUUCAACCUAUUUAUAGUGUUUUUGGUAUCUAUUUGUGAACAACAGAUCAGGAAAAUGGAUAGAAAAUAUUGUUUCAAAUAAAACAAAACAAAAAUUACAUAAUUUCGCUCUUAGGUGAAAACACAAAACCUUUACAUGACUCUCCGAACUCACUACAGAUUAGCAUGCAGAAAAACUCAGCAAAAUAAUAAUGUGCAUUCAUUCAUGUUCUGUCGUAAAUUGCAAGUAAGCACCGUUGAGGAAACACUAAAAAAUAGGUUCACAAAGUAACCUAGCAGCAGUGGGUAAUAAUUAGUAUAAGUCUUGGCGAUACAAAUCCUAAUUCCUUUCAUGCUGUUUUCCCUUUUUUGGCUGCUCCUAUUAUAACUAAGUUGUUCACCCAUAUGUUUAAUCUUUAUCUCACUACAGGUAUUGUUCAAUGAAAACUCAAGCAUGCUUUGAAAAUACCUAUCCCUAAAAUGUCACACCCAAAAAUCCUCCCACUUCAGACCUUUCUCUGUACUGUGCACUCUACCUGAAUUAUUUGAAAAAAUCUUAAAUCACAAAUCAUUAAACAUAUCAACAAAUGCAAACCCAUUCACUGAAGCUUAGCAUGGGCUCAGGGCAGGCAGUAACACCAUUACAGCAAUUAAUACAUUACAGAAAAAAAUUACUGAAGUAGGGACAUAGGUCAUCUUGCCAGUGCAACUUUUGUCGAGCUGAAAUGGGUGUUCAAGAGUUUAGCUCAUGACAUCCUGCUUCUUUAACUCAGACAUCUAGGUUUGUGGUAAAAAUGUCAUCAAUUGGUGAACCAGCUAUCUUAUGAACAGAACAUUUCUCAUUCAGUCAACACAGUAAUAUCUGAAGGUAGCGUCUUUAGUGAUGGACUUUCUCAGAGAUCAGUACUAGGGGCUUACCUACACAUCUGCAUUAUUGCGCCCAUUGGCUGAGCAGAUGAAGUCUGAGGAUUUAAUGUCACUGUGAGUUUUGCCACAAUGUGUGCUUUUAGGGGGUUCUUCUCCCUUUCGUCACUGUGACAUGACAGUGGAGUUAGUAUAUUUUAUUUCAGAGGACUGAAAGUGCAGGGGGGCUUGCCCCCUUGCAAACAAUAUAUAUUUUUUUGUGUGUUUUGCCUGACUUAACUCUUUUACCACUCACUUUAUUUAUAUCUCACAAUUAAAUCAACCUUUUGCUAUCUACCCUUUGUAAAUAGCUCAGUACUCUGUAUUGUGACAUUUGUCUUGCAUCACAGUUAUUUUUUUAACUAUAUCUGUAUAGGUUAUAAUUAGUAUAAAAAGCCUUAUGAAUGUAUGUAUAGUUACUAUCUUAUCUGUUUUGACAUUUAUUUUAAGUGCAUUCUGCCUGACAUUGUUGAUAUAACUUAAAAGAUUUUCAUUGAACUUCGUGUACUAGAGCAUUUCUUCCUAGGUCUGAAAAGGGGCCUUUGUGCCCAGCUGGACUACCCUGGUGAGCAAAUAUAAAAUAAAAUGAAUAAAUAAAUCCUG